GGAUUGAGGGCCUGCUCAGUGAGUUUACAUGUUAGAGGGAGUGGGGUAUAGUGACACAGUAACAGAGGGAUUGAGGGCCCUGCUCAGUGAGUUUACAUGUUAGAGGGAGUGGGGUAUAGUGACACAGUAACAGAGGGAUUGAGGGCCUGCUCAGUGAGUUUACAUGUUAGAGGGAGUGGGGUAUAGUGACACAGUAACAGAGGGAUUGAGGGCCCUGCUCAGUGAGUUUACAUGUUAGAGGGAGUGGGGUAUAGUGACACAGUAACAGAGGGAUUGAGGGCCCUGCUCAGUGAGCUUACAUGCUAGAGGGAGUGGGGUAUAGUGACACAGUAACAGAGGGAUUGAGGGCCUGCUCAGUGAGCUUACAUGCUAGAGGGAGUGGGGUAUAGUGACUCA